UACAGAGGUCCCAAGCGUUGUUCGGAUUCACUGGGCGUAAAGGGUGCGUAGGUGGCGGGGUAAGUUUGAUGUGAAAUCUCCGGGCUUAACCCGGAAACUGCAUUGAAUACUAUUCUGCUCGAGGUUUGGAGGGGGGACUGGAAUUCUCGGUGUAGCAGUGAAAUGCGUAGAUAUCGAGAGGAACACCAGUGGCGAAGGCGAGUCCCUGGACAACACCUGACACUGAGGCACGAAAGCGUGGGGAGCAAACAGG
rnacentral:rRNA from 1 species